GAUGAAGAACGUAGCGAAAUGCGAUAAGUAAUGUGAAUUGCAGAAUUCAGUGAAUCAUCGAAUCUUUGAACGCACAUUGCGCCCGCCAGUAUUCUGGCGGGCAUGCCUGUCCGAGCGUCAUUUCAACCCUCAAGCCUCGCUUGGUGUUGGGCCCUGCCCGCCGCGGCCGGCCCUAAAGAUAGUGGCGGCGCCGCCUGGCCCUCAGCGUAGUACAGCUCUCGCUCCAGGGUCCGGCGGCAGCCUGCCAGAACCCCCCAACUCUGUGGUUGACCUCGGAUCAGGUAGGGAUACCCGCUGAACUUAAGCAUAUCAAUAAGCGGAGGGA
rnacentral:misc_RNA from 1 species